rnacentral:misc_RNA from 1 species
UCGGUCAGCAUUUCGUUUGGC